AUAAAAUAAAAAACCGUUUAACACCUAACUGUUAUAUGACACAUUCUAAAUCUGGCAGUGGGUAUAUAAGCUCACACACAGCGUACUCACACCUCACUCACUCAGUGGACAUCCCAACUGGACAUCCCAACUGUCAGUUUCUCUGAGACCCUGCCCUACAGACAGACUAGCACGAUGUCAUCUCAGAAGGUGCUUGUGCCCAAACAAUUUCCGAAACACACAGAAAAGGAAAU